rnacentral:rRNA from 1 species
AUGCCGAGACUAGCCCCGUCGCCAGGUUCAUCAUCAGAGGACUCAAGCGAUGAUCGGUCCGAUGGUUCCAAGUCCAAGUCCAAGUCCAAGGCGCCUCCACCCCGACGGUCAUCGAGAUCAUCCGGCUCUUCUUCAGAUGAGAAUGGCGACGACUCGUCUAGUCCAUCUCCGCCAUCUUCAGACGACGAAGAUGGAGGCUCGAGGUCCUCCUCGUCAUCGUCGGACUCGCAAGAUUCAUCUCCCUCUGAUUCUAAAAGCUCGCAGUCCUCUCGUCGGUCUCCUCCACCAUCAAAAUCAAAAUCAUCCCCGUCGCCGUCUUCGUCGCCCUCCCGACCUUCCAGUUCCAGGAAUGGUGGAAAAUCCGACUCUUCACCUCCGCCGCCGACCGACGAGUCUUCCGGGGACGGCGAAGAUACCGACUCUUCGCCGCCGCCGAAACGGUCAUCGCCUCCGGAGCAGUCGGAAGACUCAGAGCCUUCUCCGUCUUCAUCCUCCUCUCGGAGCCCUCCGCCUCGCUCAUCUCCACCGCCGCCGCCAGGAUGGAAUGGUAACGUUGACCAAGCAGGUUCUUCGCCACCUGAUGGCAGCCAGCCACCUCCUUCUCCUUCUCGCUCUCCUCCUCCUCCUCCGGCGCCGGCGAACCAUUCGGUGGUCUUUAUAGUAAAUAGCCAUCCCGGAGCACCGCCAGGGCUCGUCUCCAUCGCACCCCCUGGUACCGUCGGUGUGAUGUCUGCUCAACUCCCAGGAGCACAAGGUGGCGCCACUGGGGCUGGCGGCAUGCAGGCUGCAGGUUCGUCAGCGAGUACAUCCAGUACUAAUGGUGCUGGUGGAAGCGCAGCUUCUGCGUCUGCACAACAGCUCCACUCAUCACAAGUAAAUGGCCAGGUAGUGGCUGCCAUUGCUGGCGCUUCCGUUGCCGGUUUGUUGUUCAUCAUCGUGGCCAUUUUCUUCAUCGUGACGAGGAGGAGGAGGAAGAUGAUGGGGGGAAUGGUCUAUCACUCGGAUGGGAGCCGGAGCUACUACAUGCACUCGGGCCAACUCACGGGCUCCAACCACCCGUCGGGGGCGUUCUACGGGCCGCCGCCGCCGGGAGCAUCCGGCGGGUUCUCCUACGGCUCUUCGACGCCGGGCCCCACGGACAGCUUCAGAGGGGCAGGGUACCCGUCGGGCAGUAUGGAGUCCAAGUCGUCCUUCAGCUACGAGGAGCUGACGAGCAUCACCAGCAACUUCUCCCGCGACAACGUGAUCGGCGAGGGCGGGUUCGGGUGCGUGUACAAGGGGUGGCUCGCCGACGGCAAGUGCGUGGCCGUGAAGCAGCUCAAGGCCGGCAGCGGGCAGGGGGAGCGCGAGUUCCAGGCGGAGGUGGAGAUCAUCAGCCGCGUCCACCACCGCCACCUCGUCUCCCUCGUCGGCUACUGCGUGGCGCAGCAGCACCGCAUGCUCAUCUACGAGUUCGUCCCCAACGGCACCCUCGAGGACCAUCUGCACGGUCGCGGCGUGCCGGCGAUGGACUGGCCGACGAGGCUGAGGAUCGCCAUCGGCGCGGCCAAGGGGUUGGCUUACCUCCAUGAAGACUGUCACCCGCGGAUCAUCCACAGGGACAUCAAGUCGGCCAACAUCCUGCUCGAUUACUCGUUUGAAGCACAGGUCGCGGAUUUCGGGCUGGCCAAGCUCUCCAACGACACCCACACGCACGUGUCGACGCGCAUCAUGGGCACGUUUGGGUACCUCGCGCCGGAGUACGCGUCCAGCGGGAAGCUGACGGACCGGUCGGACGUCUUCUCCUUCGGCGUGGUGCUGCUGGAGCUCAUCACCGGCCGGAAGCCCGUCGACCAGGACCGGCCGCUCGGGGAGGAGAGCCUCGCCGAAUGGGCUCGGCCGAUCCUCGCCGACGCCAUCGAGACCGGCAACCACGACGAGCUGGCCGACCCGCGGCUGGAAGGCAGAUACAACAAGGCCGAGAUGGUGAGGAUGGUGGAGGCCGCCGCUGCGUGCAUCCGCCACUCGGCUCCCAAGCGUCCCCGGAUGGUGCAGGUGAUGAGGGCGCUGGACGUGGACGUGGACGAGGGGAGCAUGUCGGACCUGAGCAACGGGGUGAAGGUGGGGCAGAGCCAGGUGUUCAACAACAGCCAGCAGGAGGCCGCCCUCGAGCAGCUCCGGCGCACGCCUUCGCCACCGAGGAGUUCACGGGGGAGUUCGAGCCGUCCGGGGAGUUCGAGCCGUCCGGGGAGUACGGUGCCGCCGCCAGUACUCUGA